rnacentral:rRNA from 1 species
GUGCCAGCAGCCGCGGUAAAACGUAGGUUCCGAGCGUUAUCCGGAUUUACUGGGCGUAAAGCGCGUUCAGGCGGUUUGGCAAGUCGGGCAUGAAAUCCUUCGGCUCAACCGGGGGAGGUUGUCCGAUACUGCUGAACUGGAGGGCAGUAGAGGGUGGUGGAAUUCCGGGUGUAGUGGUGAAAUGCGUAGAGAUCCGGAGGAACACCAGUGGCGAAAGCGGCCACCUGGACUGCACCUGACGCUGAAACGCGAAAGCUAGGGGAGCGAACGGGAUUAGAAACCCCAGUAGUCC